ACGAACGCUGGCGGCGUGCUUAACACCUGCAAGUCGAACGGAAAGGCCCUGCUUUUGUGGGGUGCUCGAGUGGCGAACGGGUGAGUAACACGUGAGUAACCUGCCCUUGACUUUGGGAUAACUUCAGGAAACUGGGGCUAAUACCGGAUAGGAGCUCCUGCUGCAUGGUGGGGGUUGGAAAGUUUCGGCGGUUGGGGAUGGACUCGCGGCUUAUCAGCUUGUUGGUGGGGUAGUGGCUUACCAAGGCUUUGACGGGUAGCCGGCCUGAGAGGGUGACCGGCCACAUUGGGACUGAGAUACGGCCCAGACUCCUACGGGAGGCAGCAGUGGGGAAUAUUGCACAAUGGGCGGAAGCCUGAUGCAGCAACGCCGCGUGCGGGAUGACGGCCCUCGGGUUGUAAACCGCUUUCGCCUGUGACGAAGCGUGAGUGACGGUAAUGGGUAAAGAAGCACCGGCUAACUACGUG
rnacentral:rRNA from 1 species